CCUACGGGGGGCAGCAGUGAGGAAUAUUGGUCAAUGGGCGGGAGCCUGAACCAGCCAAGCCGCGUGAGGGAAGAAGGUACAGCGUAUCGUAAACCUCUUUUGUCAGGGAACAAAGGCGGGGACUAGUCCCCGGAUGAGGGUACCUGAAGAAAAAGCAUCGGCUAACUCCGUGCCAGCAGCCGCGGUAAUACGGAGGAUGCGAGCGUUAUCCGGAUUUAUUGGGUUUAAAGGGUGCGCAGGCGGCCUGUUAAGUCAGCGGGAAAAGCCCGGGGCUCAACCCCGGCGAGCCGGUGAAACUGGCGGGCUGGAGUUGGAGAGAAGUACGCGGAAUGCGCGGUGUAGCGGUGAAAUGCUUAGAUAUCGCGCAGAACCCCGAUUGCGAAGGCAGCGUACCGGCUCCACACUGACGCUGAGGCACGAAAGCGUGGGUAUCGAACAGGAUUAGAUACCCUAGUAGUC
rnacentral:rRNA from 1 species